rnacentral:lncRNA from 1 species
AAAAAUGUAAAGUCCAGAUUUCAUCUUAUAUAUAAUUUUCACACUAUGUGUGGGACCCACAAAAUUUUGUUUCAUAGUUACACGUUGUGCAAAGUGAGUUACAUCUUAUGCAAAAUGCACAAAACUGGUCCGGAUGGUUUCUCUGUUGAUCGUUCCUGCCCCAUAUCCGUUUAGUCCAUUAUAUUGGUUAGUGUUUUAGGACACGGACCGAGUACAAUUGUGUUUUCUACAGUUCAGUCCAAUCAUUGUACAUAUUUAAAUUUUUAGUAUAGAAAUACAUCAUAAUAUUGUAUUGUAUUGCAGGGUGAUUAGGUUGAACUAUUGGACCAGUAACAUUCUCCAAACUUGGAUCCUCAAACCAGAUGCCGUUAACAAAGCCAUCCGAGACUACCUCAACUUCAUUAUGUUCUUCUUCUUGGGUUGCAGGUUCUUCAGGGUGAUUUUGUAGACCAAGGGGGACCUCUGAAGCUGUCAAGUAGAAAUGUAGCAGUAAAGCCGUUCAAUCCUCAUUCUGUUUCUUGAUUAAUGUUGUCCUGUUGUAGCAGUGCAAAUUGAUUAGGUUGGUCUACUGGGCCAAAGACAUCUUCCAAAGUUGGAUUUCCAAACAAUAAACAAAGCCGUCCCAUACUCCUUGGACUUCAUGGGAUUCUUCUUGUUCUGGUGCAGGUUCUUCUGGGUGAUCUUGUAAACCAACAGGGACCUCCAAAGUUGGGUUGGCAAGUAGAAACUCAUUAGUAAAGCCAUUUGAUACUGCUUGUGGUACUUGAUUAUCAUCUUGUUAGGGUGUUGCAGGUUGAUUAGGUUGAUUUACUCGACCACUAACAUCCGCCAAAGUAGGGUUCUCAAACAAAAUGUUGUCAGCAAAGCCAUCCCAAUCUGCUUCAAAUUCAAUUUUUCUUCUUGUUGGGGUGCAGUUUCAUUCGCAGAUUCAUUUGCAGGUUGAUAUUAUAACCAGAAAGAACCUCUGACGUUGGGCUAUCAAGCAGAGAGUCAUCAAUAAAGCUAUCUAUCCCUACUUUAUCAGGUUGUUCAUUAUCUUCUUGUUGGGGUGAUGUAGGGUUGAUGAGGCUGAUUUGGUGGAUCAAGGGCAUCUUUUAUACUUGGGUUCUAACCUAGAAUGUUGUUAACAACGCCCUUUCGAUGAUCUUCUUGAUUCUCCAUUUCUAUUUUGCUGUAUUACCAAUGAUCUUCAGGAGUUACAAGAACGUUACACUUGUUAAAAUGCUGUUCAAAUCUUUAGGUGUUAAUACACUUCUUGAUGGGAUGUGUUAGAGUUUUUAGGUGCUAAUGCAUUUCUUGAAAAUGCAAUGUCAAGAAUAAGAAAUCUGAAAUGAAAGAGACAUACAUACAUAUAUACAUAUAUAUAUGUAUAUAUAUGUAUAUAUAUGUAUGUAACUUGAUUAUGUACCACUUGUCACAAGUUGUUUGUUUUCCUACAAACCAAUAUCCCAUGCGACAUUAGCAUAUGUUCAAGACUUAAGUUAUGAACAGUUGGCUAGUUCAGCCUUAACACAAAAUGCACGAAGAUAAUACGGAAGCGCAAUAGUAGUAGGCAAAGAUAGAAGUAUGUAUGGCAAAGGAAAACUUAUUGUCGCGCCCCAUUUUUUCGCGAUGGGAAAAUAAGAUGAUGUUUAUAAAAAAUGUGAUUUUAUUUAAAAAUAAGUGAAAAAGGACCUAAAAUGGGACUUUAAAGAAUGUGACAGUUUGGGUCCAAAAUUUAGUCUAAAAAGGGUUUUUAAGAAAAAAUAAGAGUCGCCACUUAGUAUUGAGUUUUGGUGUACCAAGUCACCCCAAAAUAUUUGUAAAUAAAAUAAAAUAAAACCCUUUUCGACAACUCCAAAUCUUUGAAAACAGAGAAAAUGAGUUCGGGAGUCACGGUUGUAGAAAGGGAAGGCAAAUGUUCGAUUAUCUCAAACCUAAGACACCCUUUCAACCUAGUCUAAACUAGUUGCGUGGUUUAGUUAAAAUUUUCUUAAUCUAACCCUUAAAUUUAUCACAUUUGGAUGUUUCUUACAUGGAUGCAAAUAAAAAUAUCGAGAGGGACAAAAUGUCCAUUCAAGGGUUUAAUUGAUACCAAUCGCAUUAAUUGCGAAAGCCAAAAUAAUUUCUUGAAGGGGUCACAAAUAUGCGAAUGAUGAAAUUUAAUGAAAAAGAAAAGAAAAUUAAAUUAUAUACAUAGAUAUAAGUGAUCAAAGAAUAGGGAAUGCAACAUAAUGGGUACAGGAGGCGAAAACUCGUGAUAUAAUUUUCUUAUACAAAGAUUAAUGGGGUAUUUAAAUUAAAGAGUUAUAAUCGCCCAUAUCCAUGUUCAAAGAAUAAUUCUCCUAAUAUGAACAAGCAAAUGAACUAACUUAUUUCACAAUUUUUUAAAUAAAAUACAAUUCUAAAUGAUAUGAUUAACACAUGUAGAGGGUAGGGGAUAGAGGAUAAUAUAAUAGAAAAUAUCAUGCAAAUGAGAAAAGAUUCUAGAAUAAAAAUAUGCAUGAAAAUGUAAUGAAUAUCACACAAAUGAAUCUAAUACAUGAACAAUAUAAGGGUCUAGUGUUGGACUUAUCCAUUUCUAAAGAACCUUACUAGUUUUGGACUAGCAAGCAUACGGAGGAAGAAGCCACAACUAGCGUUGGACUAGUGUGGUGACGCCAUGCAUUAAUAAUACAUAGUAAAAUAAAUAAUACAUAAAUUAAAACAAAUAAACAUAUAAGAGCACGUAGCACAUAACACGUGAGCAUAAUAUCUAGAUGCAAAUAUCCUAAAAGAGCGAGUAAACACGUAAUCACAUAAGCAUGCAAGUACACAAACAAAUAAAAGCAAAUGGAGACUUAACUAUUACAUUUGAGGGUCCUAACUACAAUCUAAAAGGGCGAAAAAAAAUAAUAACCUAACUAUUACAAUUUGACAUUUAAAUGCCUCUCACAUAAUCAAAUAUUAAAUUAAAGUAAAUAUAUGAAAUUAAAAAAACAAAUAAAAUGAAUAACUAAAUAAAAUAAAAUAAAAUAAAAUAAAAACAUUCAAAACACAUGCAAUUACACACAUAAAAUCACAUAGGAGUAUAUAGAAGAAUUUAAAAUGACACAAGAAGAUACCUCCCUUGACGUAGUAGUUACUGGGGAAUGGGAUUUGCCUUAUUUAACUCCAAAAUUAACAGAAUCAUCAAGACACCAAUUUAAUUAACAAAUAAAUCAUAAAAAAUGAAAAUAAAUAUGAAAUCAAUCAAUUGAAUCAUUCAAAUGGAAUAUAAUUAAUAAUCUAAGAAGAAAAGCAACUUCUAUUUAAGAAAUCAAAUCUAUCAGGGACCUAAUUGCAAAGAUUAAUAAAGUUUUAGGGUUAAAUUAUAAUUACUACAAAAAUUCGUGGUCCAAAUUAAAGGAAAAUAAAGUCUAGGGACCUAUUUACAAUUAAUUAAGGACCUAAUUGAAAGAAACUUAAAGUAUUUAGGGUCACAAUACAAUAAAAUAAAAGUACAGGAACGAAAGAGCAAAUUCAUUUCUGGUCUUCCUAAUCCAACAGGCGCUUGGCCAAGAUACUACGUAAGACUAGCCAAAAGUCCAAGUCAAAACACACAGGCCAGCCCGUCUUUUAUCACUCAAAUCCAACCAAUAUAAAACAUGGGUCUGACCUUCUAGCCUAACUGAAAAUAAGAAACAAGCCCACAAAACAAAUAAAAUUAGCCUAACCUAUCCUUUUUCUUUCUUUUCUUUCCUUUUUUUCUUUUCUUUCUUCUUCCUUCACUUCCCAGCCGUUUCUUUCUCUUCUUCUUCGGCCAGCUGAAGAAGCUUCAGCUGGCGACCAUGGCAGCUGCUGGCGGCGUACCGACAAAUUUUUCGGUCGCCAAAAAUUGUCAAAAUACACCUUCUCACUCCAUUUUUCGCGUAGAUUCCAUUUACGGAAUUAUUUUGUACCAAAAAAAAAUUCGAAGGUGUCCAAAAUAGCAAAAGUCAGUCCAAUUUUUAUUUUUAUUUUUUAUUUAAAAAAACACUCAAAUCUUUACCAAAAAUCACAAAAUUUAUACCACAACACUCCGUGAGAUUUUUACAACAUAACUAUGAACUGAAGUCAAUAAAAGCAACAACAAAUAUGAUAAAAAUUAAAUCAAAACAGUCCUAAAAAUAAAAAAAUGACAAUAAUAAUAAUGAUAAUAAUAAUAAUAAAUAGCAAGAGAAAAACACAAAUUAAUAACUAAACAUGUUUAUAAUAUAAAAAAAAGUAGGAAAGGAAAUGAAAAUGAAGGAAGAUACCUCAAUGAGAAAAUUAAUCCCUUUGUCUAAGAAUUUGAUGAAGUUCUGAAUUCUAAUUGUCAACCGGUGGCUGCUCCCUUCUGAUGUUUGAAGUUGUGUGUGAGUGUGUUGUAUGAAUUGAGUAAAAAAAAUUAGAAUAUAGCUGAUAGAACAGGGGAGAUUUUUCUUCUCUGUUUUCUUCCUUCUGCCCAAAUUGAGAGAGGGAGAGCUUCGAGAAUGAAUUUGCCGAGGCCGAGAGGAGAGUUCUGAGCCCUCUUAUGCAAUUUUUCUUCUUCUGUCUUUUUUUGUCCGUUGAGAGCUUUUCUAAGUCAAAAAGUGGUGAUGCCAUCAUUUUCUUUUUUUUUUUACAAAAACUAAAAUUUUUAUUUAUUUAUUUAUUUUGCUAAACAAACCUGCAAAUAUAAGAAAAUUUUGCACAUUAGAAUGCAAGAAAAUAAAUAACUCAAUAGAUAGAAAAAAUUCAAGAAAAUAUUAAAACUGACAAAAUUUUGG